rnacentral:rRNA from 1 species
AAAACUUUCAACAACGGAUCUCUUGGUUCUGGCAUCGAUGAAGAACGCAGCGAAAUGCGAUAAGUAAUGUGAAUUGCAGAAUUUAGUGAAUCAUCGAAUCUUUGAACGCACAUUGCGCCCGCUAGUAUUCUGGCGGGCAUGCCUGUUCGAGCGUCA